GCACCCAUAGCUCAAUUGGAUAGAGUACUUGACUACGAAUCAAGCGGUUAGAGGUUCGACUCCUCUUGGGUGCA
rfam:Carnobacterium maltaromaticum LMA28 complete genome